GGCGGGCAGAGCACUGCGAAGUCCUUGCCGGCUCCAGGACCAGCCGGGUCCUCUAACGAAGUCCCGGCUUCAUGGCCGGCACACAGAGGUAGCGUUGAGGUGUGGAGUCUUGAAGACGCUGCCCAGGCUGAUGCCACCUCUGUGUCCCCAGGAUGCGUGGCGACAGCAGGAGAGGCCCCUCCCUGACCCCCAACCGCCCCCAACGCAGAAGCUCAAGGAGGCUGCGGCCUGCUUGGUGAGAGGCCCAGAGGCUGCUGCAGAGGCCUCCAGAGAGGAGAGCAAGGUCUCAGCCAUGGACUUAGAAAUC
rnacentral:lncRNA from 1 species